UGGGGAAUUUUGGACAAUGGGCGAAAGCCUGAUCCAGCAAUGCCGCGUGUGUGAAGAAGGCCUUCGGGUUGUAAAGCACUUUUGUCCGGAAAGAAAUCCUUGGCUCUAAUACAGUCGGGGGAUGACGGUACCGGAAGAAUAGGCACCGGCUAACUACGUGCCAGCAGCCGCGGUAAUACGUAGGGUGCAAGCGUUAAUCGGAAUUACUGGGCGUAAAGCGUGCGCAGGCGGUUUGCUAAGACCGAUGUGAAAUCCCCGGGCUCAACCUGGGAACUGCAUUGGUGACUGGCAGGCUAGAGUAUGGCAGAGGGGGGUAGAAUUCCACGUGUAGCAGUGAAAUGCGUAGAGAUGUGGAGGAAUACCGAUGGCGAAGGCAGCCCCCUGGGCCAAUACUGACGCUCAUGCACGAAAGCGUGGGGAGCAAACAGGAUUAGAUACCCUGGUAGUCCACGCCCUAAACGAUGUCAACUAGUUGUGGGAUUCAUUCUUAGUAACGUAGCUAACGCGUGAAGUUGACCGCCUGGGGAGUACGGUCGCAAGAUU
rnacentral:rRNA from 1 species